UUUUUUUCUCAAGAACUUGGGUUAGACUCAGUUAGUUUUAGAGAGAAAUAAAACCAAUACAAGAAACAAUAAAGACAAUCAAAACACCACCUAAAUCUAGACACAAAUUCGGCCAAACAACAACAAUACUUCGGCCAAGACACCAAACCCGUAGAAUAACUUUUUUUUGAGAGAUUUUCUACCUUGGACACCUCUUCUAAUGUUAGGAAACAAAGAUCUAACACUAGAACACAUAAAACACACAAUAAUCCUAAGAAAACUAGGCUUCAAAUUUCGGCCUAAACACAAAAACGUGGACAAAUUACUAUUUUUGAGUUUUUCAGCUUUUCAACACUUUUUUUAUUGAGUGAACAAACCCAAGAUUGAUCUCGUGGGAACGAAAUCAAUGAUGGCUUUGAUACAAAAUGAUACCAAACGGUAUGUACAACACCAAAAAAGUUUGCAAACAGUCACAGCAACACACCUAAACCCGCAAUAACAAGACAACAAAACGAUACAAGAAGCAAACACAAACUUAAAACAAGAAAAGGAUAGGUAACUUGACACAAAGAGAACUCAUUAGGUAGCAACUAAAGAGUGUAUCAAACUCUAAACAUUCUACAAAAUAAGUUAACAAGCACCAAGUUCUUACGGUGACCAGCAAGGAAAUCAACUCAACUCAAGAUCCACUGUUUCCAAGCAAAGAACAAUAUUGACUUUUCCAAGCCAUAAGCUACAAUGGAUAGUCCAAGCCAUAACUAAGAAUUAUACUAAUGUGGUCUACUCUUAAGAGAGAGGAUUUUCAAUAUCUCAUAUUUUCAUCAUUAAACAACUAAAGAGAAAAGACCUAAUGAGAGACUAUAUAUAGCCUAGCUUAUUACAUAGUAUAAUGGACCAAAAUACCCUUAAUGAAAGGGAGGUCAUGGGUUGUUUCUUUAAUAUGUUCAAUCCCCAAAAUAACCUUAAUGAAGGGUGUUUCUUCAAUGCUCCAAAACCAUGAGAUCACACUUCAAAACUUGUAGUCUCGAAUUGGCAUCAAAUGUAAGCCCCCACUCAAUCUUUCAUAUAUGGGUUUGUUUAAUGGCAUGCUCAAAAUGAGUCCUCCAUGCAUGUUCUCUUAUCCUCGAGGUGACUAAGUCUUGAGCCUCUAUAUGUUGGCCUCUAAAGAUGUCAUCAAAAGAAAAGAUGGUCAUUUGUCCCAUAUCAACAAUAGAUUCCCCAAUCAGAGCAUUGAAAGUGGUGAACUCUCCAUCAUCAGGAAGUCUUGUGUUUUCUUUCAUUAGUCUCUAAACGGUUAUUUUUAUGAUAUCAUAGGGGAAAUUUUCUGACUUAGAGUUUCUAUUUGAAUUAUUAGAGGCUUCCCAGACUAUUGUAGACAAAUGUUACAUUCACAAGUAUUGGUUUAAGUUGUAUUUCGCUAAGUUGAACUUCAUUUGCAUGGGUGUAUUUUCACACUUUAUCUAUGACUUGCUUAUUUUAUGUAAUGCUAAGGGCUCUUCUUAAAUCUUCAAUGAUCCGAGAUGUGCGUCACAACUACGACCUCGACUCGAGUCUUAUCAAUACUAUAAUUUUCUAGAAAUUUCAUCUUCAAAUGGUAAAUGAUCAUAAAAACUAUAUUUUCAUGCUAAAAUCUUCUUUUAAACUUUAAUUUAAAACAAAAGUGAAGAGUGGGCAACACUCAUAUUUGUAGCGCGUUAUUCACAUCACCUAUCUCAUUUUCAGAUUGAGAUUGAGGUGUCUUUGCAUACUACAUUUAGCUAAUUGACGGUUACACUCUUUUGUUUCCCACUAUUCACCCUUUCUUUUUUCUCAGGUCGGUAUAUCCUCUAACUUAUAUGACAUAAUCGAGAUUCAAGCAAGAAAUAUUAUUUGUAACCUUUUAAAAUAUUAUAAAUUUUGGUUUUUAUGAUUUAUCAUAGCUAGAGCUACAAAAUAGGUUGACCCAACCCAAUCCAGCCUAAGCUUCACGGGCCAAAGAAUUUGAUGGAUUAGGAUGGGCUGGUCUUUCACUUUAAAGGACCUUAAAAUGUAUGGACCUUCCCAUCCCUAAAAGGGUCAUGGAUUGGAGUGGGUUAUUCCUUCAUUUUUAUCGAUUUGUUUUAUUAGAUUUUCUUCUUCAAUCUAUAAUUGAACUAAUAAGACAUUCAUUCACACUUCUAACAUACUAUUACAUAAAGUACAUAAUUUUACAAUUUUGUAUUAUUUUGAGAAAAUACAUAAAGUCCCCCUUCAACUUGUCCGACUUUUUCAAAAAGACACCUAAAAUAUAUGGUCGACCUAUUACCCUACGAAACUUACCUAUAUCGUUGUAAGUACACACUUUUUACAUCAGUGAUAUUCUCAGUUGUGUGCGUGCAUCUCACUCUCCAAUUAAAUUUAUUUUUCUCUCUUUUUAAUAUAGGAUUGGGUAAAACUCUGCCCUUUUAAUACUUUAACCCAUUUUCACUCUCUUAUCUAUUCUUUUCCGGCAAACUUCCGUUCUCUCCUCUUUUCUUGCUCCAGCGAAUUUUAUUGGUAAAGAAGAUUGAAAUUUAUAAUUUUUUGGAAAAUUCCAAACCUUUUCCAUUUUGAGAUAAAAAUUCUUGAUUUUGAGGAAGAUAAUGAGAAUUCUCUUUCAAUGUAUGAAAGAUCUUGAAAGAACCAUUUUAAGCUAAAGAUUCUUAAACUGUUGUUAUCAAGAAAUUAUUUUUUUUACAAAAUAAUCCAAGCCCAGAUCAUAAUUUUAAAAUAUUCUAAAAAAAUUUCAUGUCUUUUCCAUGUUGAGAGCUUAAGAUGGGAGCUGGAACGAACUCAUAAGCAUAGAUGCAGGUGAAUCUGCAGAAGGAAAAUAAUUUUUCAUGUAACGAACAUCAUUACAAAAAAAAAUAAAUUCUGAUAUUUAAGGAGAUGAAAUAUGAAAUCGAAGAGUAAGAAAUUAUACAUAAAUGGACUUUUGAUUAAAUUGAAUGGAUGAAGGAGACAACAACAAACCCAGUGUAUUCCCACCUAGUGGUGUCUGGGGGGGUAAGAUGUACGCAGUCCAUACCUCUACCUCUAAAGAAGUAGAAAGGCUAUUUCCGAUAGACCCCCGGCUCAAGUCACGAGAUACCACACAAACUCAUAGUAAAGCACAGAACUAGAUUACAUAACAUAAAUACGGCACCCAUAAGUAUUAGAAAAUCUCCAGAAGUCAUGUCCUCGGUGAGCUAUAACUGCUCCAUGUCCCGCCUAAUCACCUCACCCCAGUACUUCUUCGGCCUACCCCUACCCCGCCUAAAACCAUCCAACGCUAGCCUCUCACACCUACAAACCGAGGAAUCCAUGCCCCUCCUCUUCACAUGUCCGAACCAUCUCAAUCGAGCUUCCCGCAUCUUGCACUCCACUGAAGUCACACCAACCUUCUCCCGGAUAGUCUCAUUCCGAACUCUAUCCCCUCUAGUCAGCCCACACAUCCAGCGCAACAUCCGCAUUUCUGCCACCUUCAUUUUUUGGAUGUGGGAGUUCUUAACUGGCCAACACUCCGCUCCAUACAACAAGGCCGGACGGACUACCACCCUGUAAAAUUUGCCUUUAAGCUUGGGCGGCACCUUCUUAUCACACAGCACCCCCGACGCGAGUUUCCACUUCAUCCAUCCCGCCCCAAUACGAUGCGAGACAUCCUCGUCAAUCUCACCGUUACUCUGGAUCACGGACCCGAGAUACUUGAACUUAUCCCUCUUCCCUACCUCCUGUGCUUCUAGCCUCACUACUACCUCAUUCUCCCGCCUCACGUCAUUAAACUUACAUUCCACAUACUCUGUCUUGGUUCUGCUCACCCUGAACCCUUUAGACUCCAGAGUUUGCCUCCACAACUCUAAUUUGUCAUUCACACCCCCUCGAGUCUCAUCUAUCAGGACUACAUCGUCUGCAAAAAGCAUACACCACGGCACCUCCCCUUGGAUACGCCGCGUCAACACAUCCAUUACUAACGCAAACAAAAAGGGACUAAGAGUAGAUCCCUGAUGCAAUCCUGUCAGGACAGUGAAAUGCUCUGAGUCUCCUCCCGCCGUCCUCACCUGGGUUUUCGCUCCCUCAUACAUAUCCUUAAUUACUCUGAUAUAUGCCUGCGGUACUCCACUCACCUCCAAGCAUCUCCAAAGCACUUCCCUGGGGACUUUGUCGUACGCCUUUUCCAGGUCGAUGAACACCAUGUGCAGAUCCUUCUUCCUCUCCCUAUACUGCUCCACCAACCUCCGUACCAGGUGGAUUGCCUCCGUCGUCGAGCGGCCGGGCAUAAAUCCGAACUGGUUUUCCGAAAUAGACACUAUCCGUCUCAGCCUCACCUCGACCACUCUCUCCCAUAUCUUCAUAGAGUGACUCAGUAACUUAAUCCCCCUAUAGUUAUUGCAACACUGAAUGUCCCCCUUAUUCUUAUAGAGGGGGAUCAUGGUACUCCACCUCCACGCCUCGGGCAUCUUUGCCGUCCUGAAAAUUUCAUUGAACAAUGCAGUCAACCACCUUACACCAGCCUCUCCAACGAACUUCCAAAACUCCACCGGUAUCUCAUCCGGCCCCGUCGCCCUACCCCUUCGCAUCCUGCGGACUGCCUGUCUAACCUCGUCUACCUUAAAACGUCUACAAUAGCUAAAAUCCCGACACUCCCCUGAGUGCUCCAGUUCCCCUAACACAAUAGCUCUGUCCCCCUCGUCAUUCAAGAGCCUAUGAAAGUACGACUGCCAUCUCUUCUUUAUGUGGCCGUCCUCCACCAACACUCUACCGUCCUCCCCCUUAAUGCACCGCACCUGAUCGAGGUCACGACCCUUCCUCUCCCUAGCCUUAGCGAGUCGGAACAACUUUUUCUCCCCUCCUUUCCCCUGUAACCCUGCAUACAAGCUCUCAAAAGCAGCCGUCUUAGCUGCCGUGACCGCUGACUUCGCCUCCUUCCUCGCUAGCUUGUACUCUUUCCUGUUUACCCGCUUCUCCUCUUCGUCCUUACUUUCCACCAACUUAGCAUACGACUCUUUCUUGGUCUCCACUUUCUUCCCCACCUCUUCAUUCCACCACCAAUCCCCCCGAUGAUGUCCGGCCCGGCCCCUAGAAACACCCAACACCUCCCUUGCAUUUUCCCUGAUGCACGCUGCCGCCCUGUCCCACAUAUUAUCCACGUCCCCCCUACACUCCCACACCCCCAUUCCCGCCAACCUCUCCCCUAUCUCCCACGCAUUCACUGGCGUCAAACCGCCCCACUUAAUUCUCGGUCUACACUCCUUACUCCUCCUCUUUUUAUUCUUCUUCAUACCCAAAUCCAUAACCAAGAGCCUAUGUUGGGUCGAAAGGUUCUCACUCGGGAUGACUUUACAAUCUUUACACAGCGCCCUAUCCCCUUUCCUAAGCAACAAGAAGUCAAUCUGGGUCCUGGCUACCGCGCUCCGAAAAGUGAUCAGGUGGUCGUCCUUCUUCGGGAAGCCCGAGUUCACCACCACCAGCCCAAACGCCCUCGCAAACUCCAAUAGGGUCGCCCCCUCUUCAUUUCUCUCCCCAAAACCAAAACCUCCAUGCACAUCCCCAAAGCCUCCCGGUAGCGCCCCGAUGUGCCCGUUGAAAUCCCCUGCUACCACAAUCUUCUCCGAACUGGGCACGCCUCUCACCACGUCCUCCAAGGCCUCCCAGAACCGCAUCUUCUCCUCCCCCUCCGAUCCCACAUGCGGCGCAUAGGCACUACACACGUUCAGGGUAAACCCCCGAAUGACCAACUUGAUAGUCAUCAACCUAUCGUUGAUCCUCUUCACCUCCACUACCUGACCUCUAAGCUCUUCAUCUACCAAGAUGCCAACUCCAUUCCUACGCCUGUCGCUCCCAGAGUACCACAGCUUGUAACCGUCCACAUCCCUAGCCUUAGACCCUACCCACUUGGUCUCUUGGACACACGCAAGGUUGAUCCUUCUCUUCCUAAGAAUCUUCACCAGCUCUAUGGACUUCCCCUGAAGGGUCCCUAUAUUCCAAGACCCAACCCUCAGCCUACCGUCGCUAUCCACGCGCCCCCCACUNNNNNNNNNNNNNNNNNNNNNNNNNNNNNNNNNNNNNNNNNNNNNNNNNNNNNNNNNNNNNNNNNNNNNNNNNNNNNNNNNNNNNNNNNNNNNNNNNNNNNNNNNNNNNNNNNNNNNNNNNNNNNNNNNNNNNNNNNNNNNNNNNNNNNNNNNNNNNNNNNNNNNNNNNNNNNNNNNNNNNNNNNNNNNNNNNNNNNNNNNNNNNNNNNNNNNNNNNNNNNNNNNNNNNNNNNNNNNNNNNNNNNNNNNNNNNNNNNNNNNNNNNNNNNNNNNNNNNNNNNNNNNNNNNNNNNNNNNNNNNNNNNNNNNNNNNNNNNNNNNNNNNNNNNNNNNNNNNNNNNNNNNNNNNNNNNNNNNNNNNNNNNNNNNNNNNNNNNNNNNNNNNNNNNNNNNNNNNNNNNNNNNNNNNNNNNNNNNNNNNNNNNNNNNNNNNNNNNNNNNNNNNNNNNNNNNNNNNNNNNNNNNNNNNNNNNNNNNNNNNNNNNNNNNNNNNNNNNNNNNNNNNNNNNNNNNNNNNNNNNNNNNNNNNNNNNNNNNNNNNNNNNNNNNNNNNNNNNNNNNNNNNNNNNNNNNNNNNNNNNNNNNNNNNNNNNNNNNNNNNNNNNNNNNNNNNNNNNNNNNNNNNNNNNNNNNNNNNNNNNNNNNNNNNNNNNNNNNNNNNNNNNNNNNNNNNNNNNNNNNNNNNNNNNNNNNNNNNNNNNNNNNNNNNNNNNNNNNNNNNNNNNNNNNNNNNNNNNNNNNNNNNNNNNNNNNNNNNNNNNNNNNNNNNNNNNNNNNNNNNNNNNNNNNNNNNNNNNNNNNNNNNNNNNNNNNNNNNNNNNNNNNNNNNNNNNNNNNNNNNNNNNNNNNNNNNNNNNNNNNNNNNNNNNNNNNNNNNNNNNNNNNNNNNNNNNNNNNNNNNNNNNNNNNNNNNNNNNNNNNNNNNNNNNNNNNNNNNNNNNNNNNNNNNNNNNNNNNNNNNNNNNNNNNNNNNNNNNNNNNNNNNNNNNNNNNNNNNNNNNNNNNNNNNNNNNNNNNNNNNNNNNNNNNNNNNNNNNNNNNNNNNNNNNNNNNNNNNNNNNNNNNNNNNNNNNNNNNNNNNNNNNNNNNNNNNNNNNNNNNNNNNNNNNNNNNNNNNNNNNNNNNNNNNNNNNNNNNNNNNNNNNNNNNNNNNNNNNNNNNNNNNNNNNNNNNNNNNNNNNNNNNNNNNNNNNNNNNNNNNNNNNNNNNNNNNNNNNNNNNNNNNNNNNNNNNNNNNNNNNNNNNNNNNNNNNNNNNNNNNNNNNNNNNNNNNNNNNNNNNNNNNNNNNNNNNNNNNNNNNNNNNNNNNNNNNNNNNNNNNNNNNNNNNNNNNNNNNNNNNNNNNNNNNNNNNNNNNNNNNNNNNNNNNNNNNNNNNNNNNNNNNNNNNNNNNNCGGCGCCGAAGGUCGGCGACGGCGACGGAGGCCGGGGACCAGAACGAGAGAGAGAGAGAGAGGGUAGGGAGAGAGAGCGAGAGAGCCGUUAGUGCAAUGUAGAAAUGAUCGAGUAGUAUAGAGGAGAAACACUAAUUUAUUUUACAUUGAUAGAAAAGAAUUUUGUGAAUUUUUUUUCUUUUGUUUGGAGAGGAUGAAUUGUUUGGAGAAGAUGAGUUGUUGGAGAAGACAAGUUUUUAAUGCCAUGUGAAAAUUUUCUAUUGGCUUGGGGGUAAAUUUUCACUCAUUCACGCGGACGCAUAGGUCAUUUUUUUUUAUCAAAAUGGUGUAUUUACAAUGAUAUAGGUAGGUUUUGUGGGGUAAUAGGUCGCUCGUGUAGUUUAGGUGUCGUUUUGAAAAAGUCGGACAAGUUGAGGGGGGACUUUAUGUAUUUUUUCUAUUAUUUUUAAUACUAAUACAUCAUUAAGCACAUUUGAAUUCGUUGAUCAAACUAUCUUAAUGAACAUCACCUUCAUCUAAAUUCAUAUGCAAAUUUAAUAAGUUAAAUAAUAUCAGAACAUUAUAUAUAAAAAAUUAGUAAUAUUUAAAAUUUAUUUAAAAAUAUUAUCGCUUUAAAUUUGGAUAAUAUUGUCCUAUCAAUUUCGAGUAACUGCAACAAAUGUUUGAACAUUUUAUGAUUGCUGAAAUUUUUAUAUUUAUAAUUAAAAAUUUUAAUAUUAACAAUUUAAUGCUAAAUUAAUAAAAUAUUGUGUAAGAUACUAACUAGAAUUUAUUGACUAAUCACUAUUUAUAUUUUUAGUUCUUUUAGGAACACUGUUUGUGAAUUGGAAUUAACCAUUAAUCUUAUGUUUGCUUAAAACUAUUCAAUAAAAUAUCAUUAUUAUUGGGGACCUUUGUACUUUAAUUAAAAUUUUAAUUUAUAUACUAGAAUUUUUACCUAUUUGCCUCUUUACCUCAAAUAACUUUAAACAACUUUUUAUAUUUUUUUAUCUUUUUAACUUCUAAUUUUUUCCUUAUUUUCUUUUAUUUUUAUUUUCUUUUUUUUUUUUUGCAAUAUUUUUUUUUUCUUCUUUUUCUCCUUUGAACUUCUAAUUUUUUUCUUUAUUUUAUUUUUAUUUUAUUUUCUUUUUUUUCUCAAUCUUUAUUUUUUUAAUUUUUUUCCUUUGUUUUUUAUCAACUUUUUUUUCCUUUUCUCCUCUCAACUUUUAUUUUUCCAUUUAUUUUAAAAUAAUUUUUCUUCAUUUUUUUCUUUUCCUCGUUAUUUAUUAUUUUUCUUUUUUUAAUUUUCUUUUCGUAGAUUCCUUCCAAAAUAAGUUACGCCCAGUGUUUUGGACGGCGAAAGGUGAUAAGAGGUAACAAGGUGUGGUAAGGUAAUCACUUUUUAAAAGUGUGCCACAAUUAAUACAAAAUAAUUAAAAUAAUUAAUUAUAUAUAUAAAUUAUCAAAAUUUCAAUAGCAUUAAUAUAUUAAAAAAUAUUUCUAAGUCAAAAAUUUAAUAUAGCUAGUAAUACUAUAAUUGCCUAUUUGAUAUGGUACGUGGAUUUCCAAAAGGCGAAAUAUAUUACUGUCGUCUAAUACUUAGGUGUUUUUUUUUUUUGAAAUAGCUAAUCAAUAGGAUUAACAAAAUGUUAGAAGUAGUGAAUAAAAAGGUUCAGCCGACAAAUAGAACCAAAUAUAAGGAUUUGUCAGGUCAUUCCGCCUUUAAAGAAUAAAUACAAACUCUAUCAUGGAUGAGAUUUAGCAAAUUGAUAGUGUCAAAUGCCUUUCAAAGAUGUUUUAGUAUUUAUCUCGAUCACAUAAUUUGAAAUGCAUUUGAUGUGAUGGACGUCAUUUCUAUAACAACAACAAUAUAUUCAGAGGUCAUUCCACGAAUAAAAAAUGUAGUGUUUGAUUGAGAAAAUUUUUAUGUUGGAUGAGACUCAACCAACAAAAGUCAUGUGAGUCUUCAUCCUUUAUUUGACAAGUGGAAAUAUGCAUCUCACAUGGACUUUGUUCCUAUACUUUGCCUUUCUUUCUUCAUUCUUGUUGGUCGUUUUCUCUCCUAUUUUAUUCGCCCAAUAAUAUUUGUUUACUAUUAACUUAACACAUAAAUUAAAAAUAAUAAAAAUUUAGGAUGGUUUUACGAUAUCAUCCUUUGAAUUUAAUAAAUUUAGUUCUUUAGUAAUGAAAUUGAGUAAUGAAUAGUGCCUAAUAGCCAAAACAAAAUGGACAAAAAAUAAUUCAUUAAUUUUUUAAAUUAGACAAAUACACAUAUUACAUAUUGCUAGUUUUAACAUUAAAUUCCUAUUUGUAUCUUUUCUUUGUUUUGUUCUUCUUCUUCUGUUGUCAUACUGCUAAAUUCAUCUCUUACAACCAUUUCAUAUUUUCUCAAUAUGUCUAUAGGUGUUAGUUUAGUUACCGUUGUUCCUUCUGUUUCUUUAUCAUUCCUUAAUACCUUUUUACUAUUUUCAGUUAAAUUUAAAAACCAUAAUUUUGUUGUUCCUAUUAGUGUUUUUUCUAUAUAUUCUGGUGUAUCUAUUGCAUUUAUACCAUUGUCUAAUAAUUGUUUUGUUAUAUAUCCUGUCCAUGAUUGUAUUGUUUUAUCUACAUCUAUUACACAGUCUAAGUCUAAGAAGUUAUAAUUUUUAUUAAUUAUUUAUUUUGGUGUCCAUUUUACUCCCCAUGGUAAGUGAAGCAAGAACCAAGAGGUGCCUUACGCCGUUGUCAUCGUCGCUCGCUCGGCUCGGCUUCAAAAUUGAAUUUGGAUUUUGAUUUGUCAAAUGAUCGAUCGAUGAGAUUAAUUUUUUAGACAAAAUUUAUUUACAUAGUCCAAAAAAUCCAACAGUUUUGCUUCUCCAUUAACGCGUGCAUGUUUGUACAUGCAGAAACGCUGAACGUUGUUUCGAAGAGAAAAAACUCUUCGGGUAAAAAGACACUAUUUCAAAAAAAGAAAUGUCUGUUCGAAUGGUUGUGACUAUUUAUAAACAAACAUAAUAGUUUGAAUGGACAAAUAUGAUUUUUCCAAAGGAUACACCUUUCCGAAUGAAUCAUUGCCUCCUUUCGAAAGAGGCACUUAAUGGCUAUAUAAACCUCCAUUUUUUUAUAGGUUUAACAACAAAAUUUCUGAAUUAAAAAAAACUUCUCGUCUUUUGGAAAACUCUGUGUGAUCAUCUCCCGUUGAGUGAGUUCAAAGAGAAUCCGACCGUUUGAGGUAUCACUAGUGUCGGAUUGUUAAUUAAGCCAUUUUAUUCUGGAAGGAAAAUUUCAUAACCUCGGGUACUUGAGGGUAAUUAUUUCCUUAAGGACACUGUGAAUUCGGAGGACUUUGUUUUUUCUGCUUCAUCUAUUUUCUUUAAGAAACUGAAAACACACUUCUUUGAAAGAUCAUUUUGAUCUUGUGUUGAAGGUGUUGGAAAACUUCGUAAGUGUUCUUGAUAUAUUCUUGAACUUGUGUUGAAGUAGUUUUGCCAAAAUACAGACUUUGUGUACCCAAAACAACAAUAUUAAGGAAAUAAAUCAUAAUCUAUAUUAUUUUUGGUUUCUGGAGAUUAAGGCUUUAAGCUUUCUACUCCGUUUGAAAUUAACAAGUGAUUAGAAAUCAUAAAAACUUCAUAACAAGUUAAAGAAUAUUCGAUUAGCGAUUGAAAGUCAUAAAAACUUCAUAGUUAAACUAGAAACAAGGGGUGUUUAAAGUUGCUACGACUUUAUAAGUAGUACUUCGAUAUACUAAAAUUUGCUAUCUUUUUGUGAUAGGAAAAUUACUACUGACAGUCAUGUGAAUGAUGCUGCAACGACUGUGGCAGCAACUAAUAUUUUCACAAUGAGUUGUACGAGUGUUCUGCAGGCAAUGGUACCAGAGGUGAAACACGAAAAAUUCACAGGUGUUGAUUUUAAAAGGUGGCAACACAAGAUGUUUUUCUACCUUACAACAUUGUGUCUUCAGAGAUUUACAUCUGAAGAAGCUCAAGAGGUGCCCGAAGAAACUUUGGACCAAGAGAAAUUUGUCGUUAUGGAGGCGUGGAAACAAUAUGAUUUCCUAUGCAGGAAUUACAUUUUAAGUGGCCUCUAAGAUGACCUAUACAACGUGUAUAGUGGAAUGAAAAAUGUCAAAAGAGUUGUGGGGUGCGCUAGAAAGAAAAUACAAGACUAAGGAUGCAGGAACCAAAGAGAUCUUCAUUGCAAUAUUCCUUGAGUAUAAAAUGAUUGACAUCAAGUUUGUUGUAUCCCAAGUAUAGGAACUACAAUUUAUCAUCCACGAUAUCCUUGUGGAAGGUAUGAGUUUGGUAAAUACCUUUGUUGAACAUGUUAAAAAUAUUCUUAAUGUUCUUGUAAAAUUUAUUGUAGGUUUGGUCGUGAACAAGGCAUUUCAAGUCGCAGCAAUAAUAGAGAAGUUGCCACCUAUGUGGAUGGACUUCAAGAACUACAUGAAACAUAAAUGAUAGGAGAUGACAGUCGAAGAUCUCAUAGUACGAUUACAUAUUGAAGAAGACAACAAAGCCACAGAAAGAAGGUCGAAAGAAAAUUCUGUAAUGAAAGGAGCAAAUAUUGUAGAAGACGACCACAACAACUUGAAAAAAAAAAAGAAAACUGGACAAAAAGUAAUCAACCUAGGAAAAAUUCAAGGGGAAAUACUUUAAUUGUGGAAAAAUUGGCCACAAGUCAACAGAUUGUCGUUCCCCAAAGAAAGGCAAAAGGAAACACCAAGCAAAUAUGGCUGAAUCCAAGAAAAAAAUGGUCGAUCUGUGUGCCAUGCUAUCUAAAUGCAACUUGGUGAGAAAUCUUCGAGAAUGGUAGAUGGAUUCCGGUGCCACCCGCCAUGUUUGUGAAAAUAAGGAGUUGUUUGCUACGUUCGCUCCGACUUAAGAAAAUGAGAAGAUUUACAUGGAAAACUCCGCAACUGCAAAAGUUGAAGGAACAUGAAAAGUCUGCUUGAAAAUGACAUCAGGCAAAGUGUUGAUUCUUAACAAUCUUGUAUUAUUAGAUUUAUGGAAGAACUUGGUUUCUGUAUCACUUCCUGAUAAAAAUAGAUUCAAAUGUGUAUUUGUUUUUUAAAAAAUUUUACUUAGUAAAGGAGAAGUGUACGUACGAAAAGGCUACCUCACUGAGGGCCUAUUCAAAAUAAAUGUAAUGAAUGUUGAAAUCAAUAAGAGUUCAGUUUCUUAUUACUUGUUUGAGUCUAAUGAUUUGUGGCAUGAACGAUUAGGACAUGUCCAUUAUAAAACUAUACGAAAACUGAUUAACUUAGAAGUUUUGUCAAACUUUGAGUUCAAUAAAUUAAAAUAUUUAACGUGUGUGGAAUCAAAGAAUGCUAAGCAUCUGUAUAAGUCCAUUGAAAGGAUUCCAAUCCCUUAGACUUAAUACACACUGACAUUUGUGAUAUGAAUUCACCACCAUCUUGUGGUGGAAAAAAGUAUUUUAUAACUUUUAUUGAUGAUUGCACUAGAUAUUGUUAUGUCUAUUUUCUAAACCGUAAGAAUGAAGCAAUAGAUGCAUUUAGGCAAUAUAAAACAAAAGUUGAAAAUCAGUUAGAGAAAAAAAUCAAAACUAUAGAAGUGAUAGGGAUAGAGAAUAUAAAUCUUCCCUUGCGAAAAUAUGUGUAGAGAAUAGAAUUGUCUAUCAAACUACGGCCCCAUAUUCACCUCAAUCUAAUGAAAUUGUGGAAAGAAAAAAUUGAACCUUAAAGGAAAUGAUGAAUGUCUUACUUAUAAGUUCAGGUUUACUUCAAAACUUGCGGGGGGAAGCUAUCCUUACAGCUAACCGAAUACUCAAUAAAGUGUUCCAUAGUAAGACACAAUCAAUUCCAUAUGAAAACUAUAAAGGAAGGAAAUUUAACUUGAAAUAUUUAAAAAUGUGGAGGUGUCUAGCAAAGGUCCAAGUUCUUAAGCCUAAAAGGGUAAAGAUAAGACCUAAGACAGUGGACUGCAUGUUCAUAGGAUAUGCUAAAAGUAGUAAAGCAUGUUGGUUUUUUGUUCAUAAAUCCGAACAUCCGGAUAUCAAUGAAAAUACAAUAAGUGAAUCAGAUAAUGCUGAAUUCUUUGAACACAUUUAUCUAUAUAAAACUAGACAUGAAUAGUCUAGUGGAGGGUCUAAAUGACCUCGAGAUGAACCAAGUAAUGAUGGACAUAAUGAUGAGAAUCCAAGACAUACUACAUGUCAAAGAAUGCCAACUUCGUUUCAAAAUUAAGCAACCAUACGUGGGAGUUGGUUGAUCUUCCUCCAGAAAAUAAGCCUUUAGGUUCUAAAUGAAUCUUUAAAAAAAAAAUGAAAGCAGAUGGUACUAUUAACAAAUACAAGGCAAGACAUAUAAUAAAAGACUUUAAACAAAAGGAAGACCUUGAUUAAUUUGAUACGUACUCGCCUGUAAUGAGGAUAAUGUCAAUUCGAGUGUUAAUUGCCUUGGAGUCGGUAUAUGAUCUUGAAAUCCAUCAAAUUGAUGUGAAAACAACAUUCCUGAAUGGAGAAUUAGAGAAAAAAAUUUACAUGAAAUAACCUGAGGGUUUUGUAGUUCCAGGAAAAGAAAAUAAGGUGUGAAAACUUGUUAAAUCAGCUUAAGGACUAAAACAAGCACCUAAAUAGUUUUAUGCAAUGUUUGACUAAACCAUGUUGGCAAACGGGUUCAAGAUAAAUGAAUCUGAUAAGUGUGUUUACACUAAAAACACUCCAAAUCACCAAGUCAUUGUUUGUUUGUACGUAGAUGAUAUAUUGAUCAUUAGUAAAGGCAUUUAUGACAUAAAUGCUAUGAAAUGAAUGCUUGAGAGAAAGUUUGAUAUGAAAGACCUUGGAGUUGUGGAUGUGAUCAUAGGAAUAAGAAUCCAUAGAACUCUAUAAGGGUUGGCAUUAUCACAGUCUCAUUACAUCGAAAAGGUACUUGACAAAUUCAAGUAUUUGGAAUUUGAUAUUGCCAAAACUCCAUUAGACAUGAGCUUUGCACUUCAAAAGAAUGAAGGUGAAAGUGACUUACAGUUGGAAUAUCCAAGAGUGCUAGGAUAUUCAAUAUAUAUCAUGAAUUGUACACGAUCAGACAUAGCAUGUGCUAUUAGUAAGUUGAGUCGAUGCACGAGUAAUUCCAAUAAAACUCAUUAGAUGGUAAUGAAAAGAGUUUUGAGUACCUUAAAUACACUCAAGACUAUGAUUUGCAUUAUAAUAAAUAUCUCAUGGUAAUUGAAUAAUACAGUGAUGCAAAUUAGAUCACCGGAUCAAAUAAUGUAAAAUACACAAGUGGAUAUAUAUUUACUGUAGGGGAGGAGCAGUCUCUUGGAAAUCGUCCAAACAGACAUGUAUUGCUCGCUCCAUAAUGAAAUUUGAGUUUAUUGCAUUAGAUAAAGCCGGCGAAGAGGCAAAAUGGCUUCGGAAUUUCUUGAAAGAUAUUUCUUAUUGACCCAAACUAUCGGCACCAGUAUGUAUACACUGUGAUAGUCAAACGAUGAUAGUUUAGGCAGGGAGCUUGAUGUACAAUGGUAAAUAUUGUCACAUAAGCCAGAGACAUAAUAUUGUUAGAGAACUUCUAUCUAGUGGAAUUAUCACUAUUGAAUAUGUGAAGUCAAAGUAUAAUAUGUCGGAUCCACUUACAAAAGGCCUAACUAGAGAAGAAGUUGAGGGAACAUCCAAGGGAAUGGGUUUAGGGCCUAGGACAAGUCAGCAUGGCGGUAACUCUACCUGACAGACUGGAGAUCCCAAGAGCUAGGUUCAAGGAGAUCAAAUAAAGUUAUGUCUGAUAGGUUCAACAUUGUCAAUAUACCCAACCCAUUCUCAUGAUGUAGAAAAUGCUUAGUAAACAAGGAUAAGACUUAUGGUGUGAAGUCUUUUAAUAAUUAUCUAAAUUUGGCAUAUUUGAUCAAAUAGUCUAAUCUAUUGGAUUGAACGUUUAGAAAUCACCUAUGUGAGGGUGAAGUGGAAGCCGCUUCAAGGAGAAUGCUAGUAAAGGCCUAUUCUCUAAGCUCUCAUAAGACUGGGACAUGUUCAUUGCUGUAACGAAUAAAACCGUGAGAAUCAUAAAUGGUAAAAGGCUGGUUGUGUGAUAUAUGUUGUCUAGAUGUACAUUAAAUCUUGACGUUUCAAAGAUAUCAAAUCUAUCGAUUGACGGAGUGCAUACGAUGCAUGUUCACUAUGAAAAGUUUAAAGGAAAACCAACUUAUCUAAAUGCAAUCAAUCUUUGCUUGAUGAUCAAAUACUUAUCCGUAAAGUUUUACAAAGAUAGUCAUUCCCCAUUCAAAUCAAUAUCUUAAUCAAAGAGUAUUUGACUUUAAAUUUAAAUGAAAUUUGAGCUGCUAUGAAGUUUUAACUUCUCUUAUAUAUACUUUAAUAGUGGUUUAUAAUGCAAAGGUUUCUUCUCUCUUUUAUGUUUUUUGAUUAUUAAUUAUUAUUGAUCUUUAAUUUUAUUUACUGCAUUAUUUAUAUUCUUCAUCUUCUAGAAUUUUUGUUUGUUUUAAUAUAUUUAUUUUUUAUAUGCAGAUGAUUGAUGAUGAUAUUACAUUCUAAUCUAUUUUUUUGUCAUAUUCAAGUCUAAAUUCAAGUAAGUAAUGUUUUACAUUGAUUUUGUUUUUUUGAUUUUUAAUAAAGAUAAAUACGUUCAAUUAUUUAAAUAAACUUUAGAAUUAUGUUGAAUAUACAAAUUUUUGAAAUGUAUAUUUGAUUUGCUUACUCUAAUAUAUUCCUUAUAAAUUGUUGAUUUGAAAAAGGAUUGAAAAUGAUGUUUCAUCCUAAAUUAUGAUACUCUACAAAUGUAUUGUAUAUGAAACUCAAUUAUACAAAUUGAAGUAGAGAUACGAGGACACUGAGACAUAAUAAUAAUUUUUUAUUUCAAAAUAAGGCUAUUAAAGAAGAUGAUGAUUUAUGUAUAAUAUUUUUUACAAGUAAUUGCAUUUAUCUUUGAUUGAGAAUUUCAAAAGAGGGAAGUGUAUAAAUACACAAUUAAUAAAAAUAAAAAAAAACUGACAAUUUCAGAAUAUAUUAAUGACAUGAAUCUAUUUAACUCAUAUUUAAUGUAUUAGAUACCUUAUAUUUUAAUUGGGUGAAUCUGAAAUUUAAUUUAUUUUAAAAAUUUAUUAAAAUAUGAAGAAAGCAGAUAAAAUAUAGAUAACCAUGCAGAUAAACUUAUAACUGAUUGUCCAUUUCUACUCAAAAUCCAAUAUUGCACUAAAAAAAAAUAAAGAUCUCAAAGAAAAUAAAUUUAAAAAAGUAGGAGUGCUUGGGUGGAAGUGGGGGUCUUUGUGUGAGAAAAAAAAAUUAACUAGGGGUGGGACAGAAAAAAAUUCUAAUUUCUUUUUAUUUUUCAAAAACAUAAAAAAACUUGAGGUUUGAGGCGGGUUGGGGGGGAGGUAGUUGGAAACAAAAAAAUUGAUGUUUUCGAUAAUGUUAGAAGACGGCCUACGCCAAAAAAAAUAAUAAUUAGGGGCAUGGGUAGGUUGGAGGUGGUAGAUAGAAAAAAAAUUAUAUUAGAAAUUUAAAAUUGUUCAAUUCUCUAAGGGGUUAUUUGAUUGGGGACAAGUUAUCAUCGGAUUAGCUAUAUCGAAAUAAGUUUUCUCAUUAUGUAUAUGAGAUAACUUAUCUUAUCACUAUGAUAUAAAUGACAGGAUAAAUACUCUUAGGACUAACUAAUACCUCUAACCAAACACAUGAUAAAAUAAACCUAAUAUCCUCAUAUUAUUUGACCUUAUAUCUCAGACGAAACAACUCGUAAGGGUAAAAUAUAGGCAAGUUCAUAUCCAAUCUAUUUAUUAAUCACCCAAUUCAUUUUUUACCGACACUUAAUAUGGACGAAAAUGAUAAUGAUCUAUCAUAUUAAACUAUUUUGAAGUCUUUUUCUAAUCUAUAUUUCAAUUAUUUUAUUUUGCAUAGUAAUACUUAUCUAUUUUAAUUUCUAUAUUAUGAAUUAAAAGAAAAGAAAACUUAACUGCUUAUGCGUGUAACACCAAUUUUUUUAUUCAAAUUCAAAUUAAAAAAAAUAAAGUAAUUAAAAUACAUUUGAAAAAAAUGGAUACCAAGGAUUGAGGUGAGGGCGGGAGUGAGGGAAAUUUAAACUAAUUUUGAGAAUAUCACGAAGUAAUUAGAUCAUAGACAUAUUAUUAUUUAUAAAUUUUAAAUGGAAUAGACAAGGGAGAAUAGAAUAAACAAAAUAACUAUAAAACAAUCAAUAUUAACAAUUUAAAAAUUUUAAAGUGUAAAAGUAUAAGGAAAAAUAUGAAACAUAAUUUUUUUUUUAUAAUCAUAUGAUUGCUUUUACUCAUAUAGAUUUAUUAUGAGUCAGAGAGAGAAAAUAUUAGUAAUCUAAUAUCUUUAAAUUGUAAAUAACAUAAUAAAGUAAAAAACAAAGUAUAAAAUUAUUUUAAAAAUGACAUGAUUCUUUUUCUUCGUAGAUUUGGUUAAAGAUAGGUGAAUUGGGAUUUUUUUUUUGGGGGGGGGGGGGGGGGGGGGUGGUGUGUGGUUAAUUCUAAAUACUUUCAUACAUGACUAGCCUCUGUGCUACUGUCGUGCAUUCCAUAACAUUACCAUCAUUUAACAACCUUAUUAUUGUCACUUACUAGCCAAUAUCUAUUAGCUAACCAUCUCUUAUUAACUAAUCUAUUUAAUUAAUAGUCAUCAUAUAACCUCUAGUCAUCAUUUAAACCUUUUAUGGAGAAAUAGUAUGAUAGUUAUAUUUUUUAAGGUAAUAUGGUUGAAAAUGAUUUAAACAAGACAUCUCACUAUGAAAUUAUUAAUAGAUUUUUUCAAUAUUAUCUGCGUAUCGCGCGGGUACGUAUACUAAUAUAGUUAAAUAUUAGCUGGCACAGGAGAGCCUACCUCUGUGGUGUAUUCUUCACUUGUGCUAUUUCUCUCUCAUCCUUAAGAUACAUAAGAUUCUUCUUAGAGUAAGCCUAUGACAUCAAUCCGACCAAUUACAAUAAAGGUCUAAAGUGAAAAGUGAAACCAAAAUAAUGUAUUGAUUCAAGAUGCAGCUUAUACAAUAUAAGAAUAGCUCAAAAGAAAAUCAUUCAUACUAUAGAGAAAGAGGCAAAUUCACAAUUAACUUUCCUAAGAGGAAGAACAAACUUGUCCAAUACAUCACUCAUCGAGCAAAAAUUUAAAUUAUGAACCACAAAGUCCAUUUUUUUGGCCUUUUUAGGUAAUUCUCAAUAAGCCAAAAAAAUAGAACCAAACAUCAUAUAUAUACUUAUUAUGACAAUCCAUAAGAUUUUUUUAUCAACUCAAACCCUUUUGUGUUCAAAUAGACAAUAAUCUAAGCUUCAACUGUGUAGAAAAUCUAAGAAAUUGCAGUAAAAGAGCCAACAACAACAACAAAUUCAGUGUAUUCUCACAGUGUGGGAUCUGGGGAGGGUAAGAUAUACGAACUCCAUACCACUACUUUCGAAGAAGUAGAGAGGCUAUUUCCAAUAGACCCCCGGCUCAAGAUAAAGGAUAAUAAACAAGGGGAUGGAUGACAUAAUCAAAAUAAAGAAUAAGAAACAAUAGAAUAAAAUCACAGAAAUUUGAAAUACGGGAAAUAAGAGUAACACGAAAUAAAAAAAUAGGGACUAAGUAAUAGAAAAUAGGACACCCACCUAGUAGUGACAUACACUCACAUACAAAAAAUACCUAUGUACACUAUCCUGUGAUUACUAAAUCCAGCUACACAAGAACUCUCCUAACUGCUAGCUACAACCCACACAGUAACACUAGCUUUCUACCCUAAUCCUCGACCUCCACGCCUUCCUACCUGCAACAAAAGAACCAAUUGAAUGAAAUAAAUUGAAGAUCGAAAACUUACUAAAAUAUAAGCCAUGAGAGGUAAUAGAGAGAGAAGAAUGAAGAUCGAAAUCUGAGAAAGCAAGAGCAUCGAGGAAUUCAUCUAGAAAUAACCAUGAAAAAAAUAAGGCACCAUAAAAAGAAGCAAAAACAAGCCCAUUUUCAGAGAAAAAAAAUCAAAUGAAGAAGCCAAUUCAGAUCAAUCAAAUAGACUAUUCCCCUAAAAUUAGCAUGCACAAAGAAAUGAAAGUUUUCCAAAAAUUCAACUUCUCCGCUUAAUAAUUCAUCAUCAUUUCGAGAAAGCGUGUAUUAUUCAUUAUGAAAGAGUCCAAGUUGAAAUCCUUGAUGUGCAAAAAUCAUUUAUUAUUUAGUAAUGUAAAAUCAAAGGAAAAGUUACCUUUUCAAGUCGCAACCCCACAACAACUAUAACUUUCUUUAACUUUUGAAACUCUGUGCAAUAAAAAAAGAGGUCCCUAGCAUAACCAUUAACCAGUAAAAUCCACACCAACUAUAAAAUAAUUCCGAAAAGCUUAAUAUAAUAAGGAAUUGAUAAUAAUAGUUGUGCAUGUUUUGUAUGUUUUUUCUAGUACAUAAUCUGUAUGUUUACGCUAAACUUCAACACAAGUUCAAGACUUUUUCAAGAACACUUAUGAAGUUUUCAACACCUUCAACACAAGUUCAAUAUGAACUAUCAAAGAAGUGUGUUAUUUUUAAGGAAAUAAGAUGAAACAAAAUAAGAACCAAGUCUCCCAACUUCACGGAGUGUCCUUAAGGAACUAAUUCCCCUCAAGUACCUGAGGUUGUGGAAUCUUUUCUCCCAGGAUAAAAUGGUUCACAAUUCGACAGUAGCGGUACCUCAAACUAUCGAAUUCAUAGAACACACUCAAUAGCAGCUCGAUCACAAUGAGUUUUUGGAAGUAGAAGAGCUUUUUUUCUAAAAAGUUUUCGUUCCUACCUGUGAAAAAAAUUUAGGUAUUUAUAGCCAUCAAGUGCCUCUUACAAAAGGAAGCAAUAAUUCAUUGGAAAGAUGUAUUCCUUUGGAACAGUCAUGUCUGUCCUUUGAAAUAUUACGUCUUUUCUGAACAGUCAUAUCCGAUUGAAUAAUCACACCUUUUCCAAAAUAGUGUGUCGUUUUCUCAAAGAAUUGCGUCCCUCGGAGGCAUGAUUUCAGUGUUUUUGCACUGCAUGCAUGCACUUUCUUGGAGGAAAAAAUAAUUUUUCAUUUUUCUUAGAUUUUUUGGAUCAUUUAUUUUUAUAAGUUUCAAAUAAAUUUUUUAUAAAAAAUUAAUCUCAUCGAUCGAUCAUUUUCUAUUUCCAAAUCUGAAGCGAAGCCGAGCGAGCGACGACAACGACGACUUGAGGCACCUCUUGGUUCUUGCCUCACUAUCCAUGUGGAGUUGUGUUUCUUAAUAAGAACACAUGAAAGUUUCUUUUUUUCUCCCACCAAUGUGGGAGAAUUAGUAGACUUUCCUUAUUGUGAGCACACUUUCCUUUUAGGUGUGAUUUCACUUCCGUCCACUAAUUUCCUCCAUUUUCCAUUCACAUAUUCAACUUGAACCUAACAUUGCAAAAUUAGAGAAUAAAGUAGAGAGCAUGUCUAGAAAACAAAAAAAAAGAAUAAGAGAAACCCAAUUCAAGAAUAAUAUGAUGAUGCGGGUAAAAUUGAUUGAUAUUGAGAGAAAUUGCUCCUUUAAAAUGCAGGAGACUUGGUGAAGUUUAUAUACAUCAAUGCCAACUGGAACAUUAUUUUUUACACUCGGGUAUAGAUUUGAUAUGCUACUGAUGAUGAUGAUUAGUAGGUUAUCUCGACUCUGAAAGAGUAAUGGUGUGAUUUAUAGAUGGGCAGGUAUGGGUAGUAGCUCCAAUGUAAUAUAUUUAGUCUUCAAAUUUGCAGUUGUAAUGGCAUAAGACAACUACUGAAAAUAAUUACUCGACAACUUGGAUGAACCCUGCUGAAUUGGGCUUGGUCAGCUUCAAUAACACACCUUGUGACGAAUGCCUAUCCAUGUUACCUGAUUGAGUAAUUUUGAAGCUUACAUUAUGUAUACUUUAUGUCAUUCAUUACAUUUAUUUGCACAUAAGCUUUGGUGAGGGCUAAGUUUUAUUUGAGAGUCUUACUUUUUCUACUUAUUGGCUCAAGGAUUUCCAUGGAAUAUUUAUAGCCUUACUAAUUUUUUGAGAAGUGACUGUGGAAUUUAUAGAUAUAAUUAAUCGCAGAACAAAAUACCUGAGAGGAGCCUCAUGCAUAAACAAAUUGAGGUACCUAUAAUCUUCUAAGACAACGAAUUUUGGAUAACGAUUGUGUAUAGAUCGACCAGUUGCAUGCAUCUAGACUAAUCCAUCAAGUAGCUCCGAUCAGAAUUCAUCAACUUUUCAUACUUGAUGUUUCUCUUUUUCAAAAUUUCAAUCAUUAGAAAUCGAGUUAGAAUGAUUCUUGGGUUCGAUAAACUUCCCCCUGCAGCGACACCAAAAAACCCUCGAGAAAAGAAAACAAUGAACAAAAAGAAAAGAAGAAGAAAAAGUACCUAAAACAGAGUGGAAAAUCGAAGAAGAGGUAAAUCAAUAACCUUAGCUAGUGUCUGUAAAAAUAGAAAGGAAGCCACCUGCAAUAGGGAUAUUUGAGAAUCAAUCCCCAAUUCAUCGAGCUGGCUAUUCAAACUCUUUGAGGUCCAUCAGACAACUUCAAUUACUGCACAGUAUGAUACAAUAUAUCACAUAUGUAACAACAUGUCCAAGAUGGGGAGAUAAAGCAGAGAAAUUUAAGAAAUAUGGCGGCUCUGGAGAAACAUUAUAAUAAAAUACAUGCAUUGUUGAAUAAUAGAGAAAAAUGCUAGAAAGGUGUUUAUUUUCUGGUUGUCAGGAAUAGAGCAGAAAUAAAGCAAACCACAAGUAGAAAGAAAACAAAAAAACACAGAUUUAUGUGGAAACCCUUGUGGAAAAAACCACGGGCAGAGGCAGAAGAUGUUUCACUAUAAUGAAAAGAGAGGAGUACAAUGUAGAGAAUAAGUAUUUUCUGAAUACACAAAACAAUCCACUAAAUGCACUUAUAUAAUAUGUGCAUACAAAUAAGUCCUAGGACCAAAUAAACAUAAAGGUCCACGGGCCUAUCGGCUUGAUCCUUACGCUACCACCAUAGACCUCAUUGAAAAUCACAAACAGGGAUCGCACCACAAACUUUUUGGGUCGGAUCAAAAAAAUUUGGGCCACAACUCUACAAUCUCCACCUUGAUACGAAUUAUAAUUCAGAACUCAAAUCCAUUUCAAGACAAACUCUCCACCUCUUCCACAAAAGCCCCUAAGGGCACAUCUUAACAACUAACACUAACCAAGUCCAAGCAAUGCUCAAACUUGGCACUUGGUAGUGUCUUGGUCAUCAUAUCAGCAGGAUUAUCAUGAGUACUAAUCUUGCUCACUAUAAUAUCACCACGAGCAAUAAUUUCACACAUAAAAUAAUAUCGAACAUUGAUGUGAUUUGUCCUCUCGUGAAACAUCUGAUCUUUCGUAAGAAAGAUAGCACUCUAACUGUCACAAAAGACCGUAUAAAUCUAUAAGUGUUUUCUAAGUUCACCAAACAGACCCUUCAACCAUAUAGCUUCCUUGAAAGCCUUUGUAAUAGCCAUAUACUGUGCCUCAAUAGUUGACAAAGCAACCGUAGUCUGUAAGGUAGCUUUCCAACUAAUAGCACAACCAUCAAUGGUGAAUACAUAGUCUGUAAGGGAUCUCCUUUUAUCAUGAUCUCCUGUAAAAUCAGAAUCAACAUACCCGAUUACUCCAUCUCUAUUUCACCCAAAUUGCAAACAAACAUCAGCAGAUCUAUGCAAGUAUCUGAAAAUCCACUGAACUGCUUUCCAAUGUUCUUUGCCAGGAUUUGUCAUGUAUCUGCUAACUAUACUGACAGCAUAAGAUAAAUCUGCUUAGGAACACACCAUCGCAUACAUAAGAGACCCGAUUGCACUAGAGUAUGGAAUUCGAGACACAUAGUCACGUUCAUCAUCUGUCUUUGGAGAUAAAGUGGAUGAGAGUUUGAAGUGAGCUGCCAAUGGAGUACUUACAGGCUUGGCAUUUUGCAUAUUGAAACUAUGAAGCGCUUUUUCAAUAUAUUUUUUCUGAGUCAAGUAUAACUUACAAUUCUUUCUAUCCCUCAGAAUCUCCAUGCCAAGAAUCUUCUUUGCUGCUCCUAGAUCCUUCAUAUCAAACUCCUUACUGAGCUGGGCUUUGACUUUUAUUAUCUCUCUCAUAUCCUUUGUUGCAAUCAACAUAUCAUUAAUAUACAAGAGAAGAUAUACGAAUAAACCAUCACUUACCUCUUUGAAGUAGACACAACUAUCAUAGUUGCUCCUCUGAAAUAUCUGAGAGGUCAUAAAAGAGUCAAACCUCUUAUACCACUGCCUGGGCGAUUGCUUUAAGCCAUAAAGAGACUUUUCAGCAAGCAUACAUAGUCCUCCUUUCCUGAGACUACAAGCUCUCUGGUUGCUGCAUAUAGAUGUCCUUCUUAAGUUUUUCAUGUAAGAAUGCAGUUUUUACAUCCAACUGCUCAAGCUCAAGAUUAUGAAUGGCCACAAUACCAAGCAAUGCUCGAAUCGAACUAUGCUUUACAACUGGAGAAAACACAUUUGUGAAGUUGAUACCUGGAGCCUGAUUGUAACCUUUAGCAGCUAGUCUUGCUUUGUACCUAGCAUAUUCAACUCCCGAUGUUCCUUCUUUAUUUUUGAAUACCCACAUGCAACAGACAACUUUCUUAUCUUUAGGUAAACUCGCCAGAUCCCAUGUGCCAUUUUUAUUAAGUGAUUCCAUCUCCUCUUACAUAGCAAUUAUUCAUCGGUCAAAAUCAUCACAACUAACUGCCUCUGAGUAAGAAAAAGGAUCUUCAUCGAAAUCAAUACUUUCUGCUACACUCAAUGCAUAAGCAACCAAAUUAGCUUCAACAUACUUUUGAGGAGGUCUAAUAUCUUUUUCUAGGUCUAUCAUUAACAAUAGAAUAUUAUGGCGCCACUGGUGGUGAAGAAGAAAUAGUAUCACUCUAUAUCUCCGGGCUAGACUGAUAAGUAGGCACUGGUGUAGACUCUUCUCAAAUCUGCAAUUCAACAUGGGUGCUUGACUUUUGCUGGUUCAUGUCACUAAGCUCAUCUGGGGGAGAAGCACUAGAUUCGGGGGGAGCCCAAAGAGUGGUAGUUUUAUCAAACACAACAUCCUUGCUAAUUAUAACCUUUCUGCUUUCUGGACACCAAAGCUUAUAACCUUUAACACCAGGUUUAUAACCCAUAAAUAACCACCUGACAGAUCUAGGUUCCAACUUUCCAUUAUCAACAUGAGCAUACGCAGGACAUUUAAAUAUUCUCAAAUCAGAAUGACUAGCAGGAGUACCAGACUAUACCUCUUGUGGAGUCUUUUUACAAAAUUGUGACUGAAGGAGAGUAGUUAAUAAGAAGACAAGUUGUGGAAACAGCUUCAGCCCAAAAAAACUUGGGUAAACCAGUAUUAGAGAGCAUACAACGCACCUUCUCUAUUAUAGUCUUAUUCAUUCAUUCGGCUACACCAUUCUGUUAUGAAGUAUGAUGAACUUUCAAGUGCCUCACAAUCCCUUCUGACUUGCACAAAACAUUAAAUUCUUUAGAACAGAACUCUAAACCAUUAUCGGUCCAAAGGCAUUUUACCUGCUUCCCGUCUGCUUUUCAAUCAUAGUCUUCCACUUCUUAAAAGUAGGCAACACACAUUCUUUUUCUUCAGAAAGAACACCCAAACUUUUCUAAAAUAGUCAUCAAUAAUAGUCAAAAAGUAAUUUGUGCCUCCUCUAGAAGGUACUCUAGCAGGACCCUAGACAUCAGAAUGAAUGUAAUCAAGUGUGCCCUUAGUUAAGUGGAUGCCUUUAGUGAAUCUGACUCUCUUCUGUUUCCCAAAAAUGUACUGCUCAUAGAACUCCAAUUUGUUAAUACUCUGCCCAUCAAGAAGUCCUCUCCUACUUAGUUCAGCCAUCCCAUUUUCACUCAUAUGCCCCAGACGCAUAUGCCAAAGUUUAGCAAUGUCACUUUCUGAUAGAGAAGAGGUAGAAAUAGAUGCAUCACCUGUAAUAGUAGAGCCUUGCAGGACAUACAAAUUUGCAGACUUUCUCUGUCCCUUUAUCACAAUAAGAGCACCUUUAGUAACCUUCAAGACUCCACCUUCACCAGUGUACCUAUAUCCAUUUGAAUCAAGAGUACUCAAGGAAAUAAGAUUUCUCUUCAGGUCUGGUACAUAGCGCAUAUCACCAAGUAUCCUCAUAACCCUAUCAAACAUCUUAAUUCUGAUUGUUCCAAUAUCAGCUGUCUUACAAGGUGUGUUAUUUCCCAUAAACACAACACCUUUAGAGGCUGCUUCAUAUGUUGUAAACCAAUCCCGAUUGCGACACAUAUGAAAUGUGCAAGCUGAAUCAAGAAUCCAAUCCUCACAGGGUUUGGAGUUACCAUCAAAAACUACCAAGAGUUUUCCAUCACUACCGCCAUCUUCCACAAAACUGGCUUCACCGAACUUCUCUGGUUGGUUUUUCUUCGGUUUUGGAGCUUCUCUUUUCUCUUUAUUUUGUAACUUCCAACACUCGAAUUUGACAUUGCCUUUCUUAUUGCAGUAAUUACAAGUUGUGUUUCUAUUUCUUUAUUUCUGCCUGAUUCCUGACAAACUGGUAUCAGAGUCUGUUUGAUUGUUUUCUCGGGGAUGGCAACCAUGAAGUAUGAUAUUUUGUUGUUGGAUCGCAACAUCAGAUUUUCUUUAUGGUAGGUUAAGAUGCAGGUUGUGCUCGCACAGAUGGAUUUGGACGACGCUUUAUUAAGGUUUGAGAAGAUGCCCUCAUCCUAGACGGACGAGGAUAAAUGACGUACAGAUCGAAAGGCUCUGUCAUAGAUCCACCUUCACUUAUCCAAUCAGAUUCUACAUGAUGUUUUGAAAGAAACCACUGCCGCUGCGUUGUGGUUAAGACUGAAAUCUUUAUGCAUGACGAAGAGUCUAACAAGUAAGUUUUAUCUCAAACAACGACUUUAUUCUCAUCGUAUGUCUGAGGGUGCGUCUUUGGAAGAUCACCUAUCUGUUUUUAAAAAAAUUGUCUUUGAUUUAGAGACUCUGGAGGUUAAGUACGGUGAGAAAGAUUUAUGGUUGAUUUUGUUGUGUUCACUGCCUGCAUCAUACACGACCUUUAGGGAUAUAAUUUUAUAUAGUCGUGAUACCCUGACCAUAGAUGGAGUCUAUGAUGCGUUGCUCUCUAAGGAGAAGACGAAGUAUCUUGUGAAUGGGUUGGAGACUCAAAGAGAUAGUCUUAUUGUUCGAGGAGAAAGGACUCAUAAAAGAAAUUCUAGGGGUGAUGACAGGAAUAGGUCGAAAUCCAGAAAUAGAAACAAAACUUGUAAUUACUGCAAGAGGAAGGGCCUUAUCAAAUCUGUGUGUUGGAAGUUACAGAAUAGAUAGAAAAUAUAAGCUCUAAAAUCGAAGAGAAACGAACCAGAGAAGUCCGAUGAAGCCAGUUUUGUGGAAGAUGGCGGUAGUGAUGGAGAACUCUUGGUAGUUUCUGAUGGUAACUCCAAACCCUGUGAGGAUUAUUGGUAUUUAUCCUGACUUUCUUAUCAUAUUUGAAUUUCCUGUAGGUACUAUAAUUGAGUUUCCCUUUAGAAAAAGGAAAACCUAAAUUCUCCAUAUUUGGCUAAUCUUUAUUCUUGUAGGAAAAGGUUAUAGACUCUAUAAAUAAACACCUUUCUUCUAGUUUUGCAGCAUCCACAAUGUAGUCUUACGGGUUUGAGAGUUUCAUUUGGGGGAGACUUUUUAAGACACAAGUAUUGCGGUAUCACUUGUGUGAACCUCUUUUUAUACUGAAUGAAUUGUGUGAGGUUGUUUCUCUUGACAGUUUAUACUCUCUUUAAUAUAGUGGAUUGCUCAUCUCCUUUUGUGGAUGUAGAUCGAUUGACCGAAUUACGCUAAAUUAUUAGGUCUCUUUUGGUGUAUUUCUCGUUUGUCUUCUUAUUUGAUGUCUUUCGAGGUUUGUUUUACUAGCUUCCGCAUGAAACCUAAUUAUUUCGGUCCUAACACUGGGUAACACUCUGAAAAAAUAUGGUAAAACUAAACAAAAAUCAAGAUAUUAAAACUAAAAUACAACAAAAAAAUAAGGAAGUGAAAGGAAAAAAAAAAAACUUAUUAAGAAGACUGAUUGAAAUCCAAGAAAAGAGAUGGUAAACUGAACAUCUUGGACAUGUUUUUUUUGGUAAGUUUUCUUGGAUUUCAAUUGCUUCAUUUGUGGGUUUUUACUUUCACUGAUGGAGAGAAGAAAAAAAUGGGUGGGGAAAAUAAAAAUCCACGUGGUGCCCAUAAACCCUUUAAAUGGUCUGGAGUCUGAAAGCCAUAAAUGGAAAGCAAGGACAUAAAGGGUGCGAAUUUACAUUUAUACCCUUUAUUACUACUUAAUAUAAGUGAGGAUGGACACUUUUUGUUCAUUCUCACAAACCUUGGUUGGGAACCACCUCCAAUAUUUACCCCAUAAUUUACCUUUAAUUUCUUUGCUUGUUGAUCUUUAUCUUAAAAGUACAAUAGCUGUGAAGAUCUGUCAACGAGCUAUGUAAAUGGUACUUUUACUUGAGCUUAUCUCAUAUCAUUCCAUUAACUUCUUUUAAUAAACACGAGUAGCAAACUAAGAAAAUUUCUCGUCUAUGCAUUCUCCGUUUCACUAUAAAUACGUCCAAUCUUCCCAUAGAAGUACAAUAUCUGUCCAAUACCUAAGUUGAACACAUAAAAAGUUUUAAUUUCUGUCAUAUUCGAUUUUUACCUAAGAUCAAAACGAACAUGAUAUUAUGGACUCAAAAAAAAUAAAUUUUGUACAGAAUCGCCACCUAAUUUUUAAGGAAAAACAGGAAACCUAUUUAUUUAUUAACAAGUAUGACUUUAUUUAACCCACGAACCAAAUUAGAUCUUAAAUAAGAGUUCAAAUUAUUCCAAAGGGAAGACAUUAGGCACCCUUUAGAAUUCACAAAUGUGAUUCCGGACCAGACUUAGGUUUAUUAAAAGAAAGAGGAAAAAUUAAUGUUUGUAAGUACAAAUACAAAAAUGCAUAUUAAAACAAUAUACAUAAUUUAUAAAGAAUGUGUAAAUUGCAUAUGUUAUCGUAAAAUAUGUGUAUAAAAGUAUAUGAAAAUAACAAAAAUUACAUGAUAAUAAGUAUAAAAAUAUGAAUUAUGCUAUUAAAUAUCUAAAUCAAUUUAAUUCUUUCACAUAAAUAGUAAUAGCCUAAAUUUGCCUAACGCGUGAUGAAAAUUACGUAAAUAAAUAAUAUCCCUCUUAACAUCCAAAAAUAAAGAUUUCACUAAAAUUUAAUAUUUGUACAAGUGUAAAAGUAUAAAAACAUGAACAUAAAAAUUAAAGUUUUCUUUGAAUGCUAUUUCAAGUGAGUAUUCCCAAUAACCUAUAUAAACACUUGUAAAUAAAAUGUUAAUAACAAAUAAAUAAUUAUCAAAGUAAAUUGAAAAGAUAUAUAUACAUAUAUAUAUGUAUAAAAAAUAUAAUUUUUCAUUAAAAGAGUGGACUCACAUUAAAUUUUAAAUACGGCAUGGCUACAAAGUGAUUGCUGAUUUAUUAGCCGUCCUAAAUCUUCUUACCAAGAUACGAAUCAUAUAAAACCUUUUGCGUUGUUAUAAAAAUUUCGUCAUCGCCCAAAUUUAUUUAUUUUAUUACAUAUUGAUAUACAUAAUAUCUAUUUUUUUAUUUGUGCAGGCCUCAAAAAUCAACGAAGAAUUUCUUCAUCGACCAAGUGUCGUCCCUUAAUAUAAAAUAAUAACAUUGAUAAAAUAAAGUUCGUCUUGUGCAAUGGGAUAGCCUCAAUAUCUGGACGGAGAGAUAAUUUCAUUGGCAAUAUCUGGACGAAGAGAUAAUUUCAUUGGCAAUAUCGUGUAGUAUUUUAUUCUUUAUUAGUAAAGUAAAAGAUGUAAAUAACAAAAAUUAUUCAAAACCAAUUACUGAUGCAAAACAACAGUAAAAUCAGUGGCAAAAUAAUCAACAAUGGAGCAAAAUAGCAGCAACAACAAGAAUAAGCAACAGUAUACACAAAUAUAGCAAUAAAAUGCAGUAAAUAUAGUCUCGUAUGUAACAACAAAGAUGUAGUUUCACAAAAAGGAAGCUCCGCGGGAGAAUGAACUCUCCGUCAAGAUUUGUAUCAAACGAGGGAAGGGGAAGGCGUUGCUUCCACCACAAAUGUCGGAGCAACGCCGGAGAAGCAUGAACAAAGACGGAUCUGAUCAUUUUCAAACUAACCAGUGACAAAAAGGGGAGAGGGACGGGCAGCGGUGGUGGUUCUGGUCCGGAGGUGCGGCUAGUGAGGGGGAAAGAGAGAGAGAUCUGUGGGUUUUAUGGUUUUUCUCCGGCCAUGGUGGCUGCCCCGCCGGAAUCGGGUCUCGCCGGCGGCUGGAAGGUUAAACGUAGGGAGGAGGAGAUUUGAUGGAGGGGGAGGGAAAGGGAAGCGUGUGGUGGCGUUGGCCGGAGCUCAUUCGUCGGAGCAACAGUGAAGGAGAAAGAAGGGAGAGAGAGAGCAGAGCCGUAUUUGGAGAGAAAAAUUAGCAAAGAUCUGAUAUUUGAUGUGUGUGUCUUUGUGAACGUGUUGGGUAUUAAAUAAUUGGUCCUCCC
rnacentral:lncRNA from 1 species